GCAGACACAUUCCAGCCAAUCAGCAUCAGACCCUCCCUCCCAGACCCUCCCACCUCCUGGACAGCUCACUAAGAAUGCAGCUUCACAAUGAAUGUAAAAUGGAUGCUGUCCAGGAGUUGGGAGGGUCUGGGAGGGAGGGUCUGCUGCUGAUUGGCUGUAAUGUGUCUG